AACGCACCUUGCACCCUUUGGUAUUCCGAAGGGUACGCCUGUUUGAGUGUCAUUAAAUUAUCAACCAUUUGAGUUUUCGAACUACACUUGGCUUGGAUGUGGGGGCUGCGGGCUUCUUACGAGGUCGGCUCUCCUUAAAUACAUUAGUGGAAACCGUUUGUAGGAUUCAUUUCACUUGACGUGAUAAUUAUCUUCGUCUAUGUGGUGUUUCUGAGGUAUCUGCUUCUAACAGUCUCUUUACUGAGACAAAUGACUUUGUUUGACCUCAAAUCAGGUAGGACUACCCGCUGAACUUAA
rnacentral:misc_RNA from 1 species